GAUGAACGCUGGCGGGCAUGCUUAACACAUGCAAGUCGAACGGUAACGCGGGGCAACCCUGGCGACGAGUGGCGGACGGGUGAGUAAUGCUUAGGAAUCUGCCCAUCAGUGGGGGACAACCCGGGGAAACUCGGGCUAAUACCGCAUACGUCCUAUGGGAGAAAGUGGGGGACCGCAAGGCCUCGCGCUGAUGGAUGAGCCUAAGUCCGAUUAGCUAGUUGGUAGGGUAAUGGCCUACCAAGGCGACGAUCGGUAGCUGGUCUGAGAGGAUGAUCAGCCACACCUGGGACUGAGACACGGCCCAGACUCCUACGGGAGGCAGCAGUCGAGAAUCUUCCACAAUGGGCGAAAGGCCUGAUGGAGCGACACCGCGUGCAGGAUGAAGGCCUCGGUUGGUAACUAGCUGUCACGCUAUA
rnacentral:rRNA from 1 species